rfam:Salmo salar isolate Sally breed double haploid chromosome ssa14, whole genome shotgun sequence.
AUCUCUCCAAUUUGUAAGUCGCUCUGGAUAAGAGCGUCUGCUAAAUGACUAAAA